rnacentral:rRNA from 1 species
CACGAGCGGCGAACGGGUGAGUAACACGUGGGUGAUCUACCCUGUACUUCGGGAUAAGCCUGGGAAACUGGGUCUAAUACCGGAUAUGACCUUCCGAUGCAUGUCGGUGGGUGGAAAGAUUUAUCGGUACAGGAUGGGCCCGCGGCCUAUCAGCUUGUUGGUGGGGUAAUGGCCUACCAAGGCGACGACGGGUAGCCGGCCUGAGAGGGCGACCGGCCACACUGGGACUGAGACACGGCCCAGACUCCUACGGGAGGCAGCAGUGGGGAAUAUUGCACAAUGGGCGAAAGCCUGAUGCAGCGACGCCGCGUGAGGGAUGACGGCCUUCGGGUUGUAAACCUCUUUCGACAGGGACGAAGCGCAAGUGACGGUACCUGUAGAAGAAGCACCGGCCAACUACGUGCCAGCAGCCGCGGUAAUACGUAGGGUGCGAGCGUUGUCCGGAAUUACUGGGCGUAAAGAGCUUGUAGGCGGUUUGUCGCGUCGUCCGUGAAAACUUGGGGCUCAACCCCAAGCUUGCGGGCGAUACGGGCAGACUUGAGUACUGCAGGGGAGACUGGAAUUCCUGGUGUAGCGGUGAAAUGCGCAGAUAUCAGGAGGAACACCGGUGGCGAAGGCGGGUCUCUGGGCAGUAACUGACGCUGAGAAGCGAAAGCGUGGGUAGCGAACAGGAUUAGAUACCCUGGUAGUCCACGCCGUAAACGGUGGGCGCUAGGUGUGGGUU